rnacentral:miRNA from 1 species
UUUGCGACCAAUCCAAGCCAAA